rnacentral:lncRNA from 1 species
CAUCUCUAUGACAACACUUCACACUGUUUUGUAAUAAUUUACAGAGUUGUCACCUCCAUCAGACAGUGAACUGAAGGAUGAGAGCAGUGCUAUAAUAAUUUUAGAAGAUCUCAGCCAUAAUUACUGCCUGCUAUACACAGUAGAAACUCAGAAAAUGAGACCCACCAGAGUGGAAGGAACAUGUCGUUUUCAUGCUCAAGUUCCUUCAGCAACUCCAUCAGAGAACAAAGCCCAAAGACAGCCUGUGAACACGGAAUUAAACCCAAGAGCCUAUGCCUGGAAGAAAAGAAAGAGAAUAAAGAUAUACGGGCCAGAAGGUCCUCCAGGACUUUACCUCUGAGCUUCCUGACAACCAAAAUAAAAAUGGUAUUGUACAACAUGGUGACUAUAGUUAAUAACAAUGUAAAAAAUACAAUAAGAAAAUAAAAUAAAAAUGGUAACAUAAUUUUUUCGGUAGGUUUUUCAAUGCUCAUGAAGAUAAAUCCUGACAGUUCUUAAGAAGAGGAGCAAAAUUUUACCUAGCACUCAGCUUUGGAAGACAUGUCCUACAUAAAACUUAAAAGGAACACAAGCAGUGUCGUAGAUGGCAAUGCUAACCACAGCUCAGUAUGAAAAGCAAGUGUGAGCCUCAAAAAGCAGUUUUUUCUGAUGCCGCAAUGGAAGUUUAGGGCAUAAUACUGAACCACAACUGAGUGAAAGUCAUCUAACUGAGGGAGAAAAAAAAUGUGUUGCUUGCACUGUUUCUUUAUCAUCUCCUUAGACUCCCAGCCCACAGUUCACUCAGGAAUAACAAGUGGAGGAUAUUAGAGUUUCCCAACCCUCCCCUUCCCACCAGACCUUUUCAAUUCCUGCCAUGUUUUCUUAAGCCCAUUGAGUGGCCAGUUUGUCAGUUUCAUUAACUUGGUUCUAACCAACAGGCACUUACAAAAUAUCUUGUCAAUGUUUCUUAAACACAGUUCCAACCGGAAACAUUUUUAUAUUUGUUUUUGGUUAGUUUUUAGGUUGUGAAAAUCCAAGACCUAUACUAUAUUAAGCUACUGGAGAGAAAGUGCUACUAUUCUAAGGAUGUAAGGGCAGGCUGCUGGACAAGAGAUGGGAAAGAACUGGAGUGUUGAGCUGCUCAUCUCCUCUGGGUCUGUCUCUCCUCUUUCCAAGCCUCAGUUUCUCUCUGCAUAGCUGCUCCUUUUCCUCCAUCUUUCUCUAUUUCCUCACCCCCUGUAGUCAAUAUCUUGUCUCCUUCUUCAGUGUACAUGUCAGAAUUUGCUGGCCAGGGCCCGAAAGGAACUUUCUGACUUCCUGCACAUGGCCGUGGUGUCUCCGUAUUUCUCAACUCAGAGCACCAGGAAAAUCUGACUGACCCAGCUUAGCUACACAAGCUGGGUCUCGCAAAUCGUGUAUCUCUGGUAGGCUGCUUCUGCACACCUCUGGGCCAACCGUGAGCCGUCGUGGUGAGACACGGAGAAACACACUGCACAUCUGGUCUCUAUCAACAAAGUGCUAAUCUCUACCUAGACAUUAGAAGAAAGGAUGAUCCACAUCAGAAAGCCCCUCCCAAAAGAGGGAUCAGUUAGAGAAGCUGUGGCAUUAUGGAACAUAAGGUGCAGAACCUGAAGCCAGAAGGAUCUUUCAGAACCUUUUACAUCUCACUGUGAAUGAGGCUGCUGCCAAUGUUAUCCAUGCAUAAGGCAUAUGCUUUAAGAGGAAUAAUUAAGCUUAUUCUAUCCAUGCCCAUUUAUUUAUCCUUUUGGUAAUAAACUGUUCCUUAAUUCAUCCUGUCAUGUGUUAGAACGACUGUGCUGGCGUGGAGAAAUAGAUUGUAUUUGAAUUACUGGAUCAUUUUCACUUGGCUCUUUGUUCAAAUAAUCUUCUUUUGUUUUCAAAUAAUUAUAAAUUAUAGAAGAACCAUUUCAUUAAAACCUUAAUGUGAGGAGAAACCAGUGUUAAUCUGUAAAUAUAUACAUAUUUCUUUA